GGCUAGAGUUUGAUCAUGGCUCAGGAUGAACGCUGGCGGCGUGCCUAACACAUGCAAGUCGAGCGGAGCACUUUACUUUGAUUCUUCGGAUGAAGAGUUUUGUGACUGAGCGGCGGACGGGUGAGUAACGCGUGGGUAACCAGCCUCAUACAGGGGGAUAACAGUUAGAAAUGACUGCUAAUACCGCAUAAGACCACAGCACCGCAUGGUGCGGGGGUAAAAACUCCGGUGGUAUGAGAUGGACCCGCGUCUGAUUAGCUAGUUGGUAAGGUAACGGCUUACCAAGGCGACGAUCAGUAGCCGACCUGAGAGGGUGACCGGCCACAUUGGGACUGAGACACGGCCCAAACUCCUACGGGAGGCAGCAGUGGGGAAUAUUGCACAAUGGGGGAAACCCUGAUGCAGCGACGCCGCGUGAGCGAAGAAGUAUUUCGGUAUGUAAAGCUCUAUCAGCAGGGAAGAAACUGACGGUACCUGACUAAGAAGCACCGGCUAAAUACGUGCCAGCAGCCGCGGUAAUACGUAUGGUGCAAGCGUUAUCCGGAUUUACUGGGUGUAAAGGGAGCGUAGACGGAUAGGCAAGUCUGGAGUGAAAGCCCGGGGCUCAACCCCGGGACUGCUUUGGAAACUGUUUAUCUAGAGUGCUGGAGAGGUAAGUG
rnacentral:rRNA from 1 species